UGGGGAAUUUUGCGCAAUGGGCGCAAGCCUGACGCAGCAACGCCGCGUGAGUGAGGACGCCUUUCGAGGUGUAAAGCUCUGUGAGACGGGACGAAGGCCCUGGGGGUGAAGAGCCUGCGGGGGUGACGGUACCGUCAGAGGAAGCCCCGGCUAACUCCGUGCCAGCAGCCGCGGUAAGACGGAGGGGGCGAGCGUUGUUCGGAAUUAUUGGGCGUAAAGCGCGCGUAGGCGGCUUGGGAAGUCCUGAGUGAAAGCCCCUGGCUUAACUGGGGAAGGGCUUGGGAGACUCUUGGGCUUGAGUGCCGGAGGGGGAGGCGGAAUUCCUGGUGGAGCGGUGAAAUGCGUAGAGAUCAGGAAGAACGUCGGUGGCGAAGGCGGCCUCCUGGACGGACACUGACGCUGAGGAGCGACAGCGUGGGGAGCGAACGGG
rnacentral:rRNA from 1 species